rnacentral:misc_RNA from 1 species
UGUUUGUGUUCAUGGUGGUGAUGGUGUCCGUGGUGGUCAUGUCCUUCAUGAUCGUGAUCAUCAUCGUCGUCGUCAUCAUCAUCAUCA